rnacentral:rRNA from 1 species
UACGUAGGGAGCGAGCGUUGUCCGGAAUUACUGGGUGUAAAGGGAGUGUAGGCGGGAUGGCAAGUUAGGUGUGAAAUGCGGAGGCUCAACCUCCGAGCUGCACUUAAAACUGCUGUUCUUGAGUGAAGUAGAGGCAGGCGGAAUUCCUAGUGUAGCGGUGAAAUGCGUAGAUAUUAGGAGGAACAUCAGUGGCGAAGGCGGCCUGCUGGGCUUUUACUGACGCUGAGGCUCGAAAGCGUG